rnacentral:lncRNA from 1 species
GGAAAGACACAUGUUAUUGAGAUUGAAAUUCACAGUUGAAAUUGAAUAUAUAUAGAAAAUAGAAUAGUAUGAGAUAAUAAAAAUCAGUUCUCAAGAAACUAAUAGAAAUUAGCUCUCAAGAAAUGAAAUCGAAAUUCAAAUAUAAAUAAUAGCAACCUUCGAGAUUCUUCAAGAAGAUAGAGCAUUCGUGCUGAUAACGUGUUAUAAAACUAAACUCAAAGAAAGACAAGAACAAGAGAAAUAUGGAGAGGGAGAGAGUUUCUUAUUGAGGUGUAUGGAAUGCUACAAAUGAGAGCUCUAUUUAUAGGCUCAUAGAUCAUAACCUAUACUCUCUAAUAUUAUUACACAUAAAGGUGGGAAAAUAAAUACAAU